rnacentral:rRNA from 1 species
GACGAACGCUGGCGGCGUGCUUAACACAUGCAAGUCGAACGAAGUGGCGAACGGGUGAGUAAUACGUGGGUAACCUGCCCUCCUUUUUGGGAUAAGCCUUGGAAACGGGGUCUAAUACCGAAUAAAGGGGGAUGGGCUCGCGGCCUAUCAGCUUGUUGGUGGGGUGAUGGCCUACCAAGGCGGUGACGGGUAGCCGGCCUGAGAGGGUGACCGGCCACAUUGGGACUGAGAUACGGCCCAGACUCCUACGGGAGGCAGCAGUGGGGGAUAUUGCACAAUGGACGAAAGCCUGAUGCAGCCAUGCCGCGUGUGUGAAGAAGGCCUUCGGGUUGUAAAGCACUUUCAGCAUCGACGCGGUAGAUGGAGAAGAAGCACCGGCUAACUACGUGCCAGCCGCCGCGGUAAUAC